GCAUGCCUACAACAUAACGUUAAUGCACUGGAUCCCAUUAGAACUCUACAGUUAAGCACACUCAGGCUAGAGUAGUACUGGGAUGGGUGAACACUCAGAAAGUUCUAGUAUUUUACAUGCC
rfam:Picea glauca, whole genome shotgun sequence.